UACGAAGGGGGCUAGCGUUGCUCGGAAUCACUGGGCGUAAAGCGCACGUAGGCGGCUUGUUAAGUCAGGGGUGAAAUCCUGGAGCUCAACUCCAGAACUGCCUUUGAUACUGGCGAGCUUGAGUCCGGGAGAGGUGAGUGGAACUGCGAGUGUAGAGGUGAAAUUCGUAGAUAUUCGCAAGAACAUCAGUGGCGAAGGCGGCUCACUGGCCCGGUACUGACGCUGAGGUGCGAAAGCGUGGGGAGCAAACAGG
rnacentral:rRNA from 1 species